rnacentral:rRNA from 1 species
AUGUAUGUAGUCUCGAGGUUUCCGCUGCACAGGGUUUAUAUUAUAUCUAUAGGCCGUCCGCAUCCAUUGCCUGCCGCUGCUUGCAACUCCAUUGCCAGCUUAUUCUGGGCAUUUUUCUCGAGCGUUGUCAGCCUGCCUGUAUCUCAGGAGCGGCCGGUGCCGGGCAGUCCAAGAAAUAGAUCCGUCUCCACAUCCACCAUCUGCUGGCCCUGCUCCUCCAGGGUCACUGGAGCAGGGAGCGCCGCCAAGGUCGCCGGAGCAGGGGGCGCCGCCGCCUCCGACGCAAGGUGCUGUUCCUUCUGGCACUGCACAGUUAACCAGGGCAGCAGAUCAGAGGAUGCAUCAAGGAUAGGAUGGGUGAUCUCUGCUGGGAACGGGAUGGACAUAGGAUAUCACGCGAGGAACGCGUUCAGGGUAAUGGUAAAGUUUGGCCGUUUCAUUCCACCAGGCAGCAAUUUGACUGUCCAUCCAUCUUUACCUGGCUAUAUAGUUCUUCAUUGUGCUGCCGCAACGUCAUCUCCUGCUCCAUCCAUGUCCAUGUCACAAAAUCAGCGCCAUGUCAGGAACUCUGUCUAUGCACACUCUCUAUUGUUUCAGGUUUUUUUGGGGUAG